GACCGUGUGGCCUAAUGGAUUAGGUGUCGGACUUUGGAUCCGAAGAUUGCAGGUUUGAGUCCUGUCUCGGUCG
rnacentral:tRNA from 1 species